AGCAACAUCGUUUGCCAAACUAUCCACUUCUACCAAACAAGAAAAUGUGGCACGACGCAAACUUGCGUAUUCUGAAACUCUACACGACACAAAUGUUGAUGAACAGAUUCCAGAUGA